rnacentral:lncRNA from 1 species
GCGACUGCAAUUGAGAUAGUGGUACUGCAAAAAUCAAUCAUCAAUAUAUAUAUAGGUUCUUGCUCAAAGGAGAACCCCAAUUAAUGUGAGAUGUGAGAUCUAAUCUCAGCCACACAUAUUUAUUCCCUAAUUAAAUCACAACCACACAUUUAAACCUUUAUUUUAUUAUUCAUUUCUUUCAUUCACCUCCCACCACUCACCCAACACAACCUAACAUUACCAUCACGCACAGCACCCCCCUCCCCAGCGGAUCUGUUCUCUCUCUCUCACCCUCCUGUACGUCGCGACUCCGUCCCACCCGCGACUUCUAGCACCACGGCGGCGGCUCACCGCCUCCUCAUCUCUCUCGCGCCGCUGCAGUCUCUUCUUCCGCCUCCCUCCUCCAUCUUUUCCGGCGAACACACACGUAUACACAUACAUUCCUUCUUUCGUUUUGUUUUCUUUCUAUCUCCUCGAUUAAAAAUCAGAUCUGAAAAACUCCAUUGACGUAAAACAGGAUUUGUAUAUGGUGGUGGUGGAUUAAGUUUUAGUGAUUUCACUUUUGUUGUUUGAUGAUCUGAUGGUAAUUUGUAUUUUAGUGAUUCUAAUGUUGGUGGUGAUUUUCAUUUUUUCAGCACUGAUUUUAUUUUUCCAGCAGUGAUUUUGUUUUGUAGUUGGCGGUUUUUCGGAUUUAGGGGGUGGUGGUGGUGGUUUGUCGAUAGUGGUGGUGUGGGGAUUUUAAUUUUCUGGUGUUGAUUUUUGAUUUUCUGGCGGUGAUUUUUAGUUUUCCGGUGGUGAUUUUAUAUUUUUCGGUGGUGAUUUUAUGUUUGCCGGUGGUGAUUUUCUGGUGGUCGCCGGAGGUGGUGGUGGUCGCCGGAGAUGGUGGUGGUAGUCAGUAGUGGUUGAAGGUGAUAGGUAGUUGAAUUUGAAAAUGGUGAAAUAAUUAAAUAUUAAAUGAAUAGAGGGAGAUGAAUAUAAUGUAUUUAAAUGAGUGGCUGAGAUUAGAUCUCAUAUCUCACCAUAUGAGUGAUUCUCAUUUGAGCAAGACCCUAUAUAUAUAUAUAAAGGAGGAUGCGGGCGUCUCUAGAAUUGUUCGAUUCAGUCUUCUGAUUUUUCUUAAAUUUCGGAGAGAAAAUAUAAUUAUAAUUCAAAAAUAAGGUUCAAGAAUUCUAAAAGUAAUACAAAUCUUUUCUUAUUGAAUUCUAAAAAUGAUACAACUCUUUUUCUUUUUAUUUAGUAUUUCUUAUUGAAUUCUAA